UUUCCGUAGGUGAACCUGCGGAAGGAUCACUCAUAAUAAGUGUUUUAUGGCACUUUUUUAAAUCCAUAUCCACCUUGUGUGCAAUGUCAGGGUUGAUUUUUCUCUCGAGAGGAUCAACUCCAAACAUCAACUAUAUCUCAACUCUUUGUCUGAAAAAUAUUAUGAAUAAAACAAUUCAAAAUACAACUUUCAACAACGGAUCUCUUGGCUCUC
rnacentral:misc_RNA from 1 species